AUCUUUGCGCUUGGGGCAAUGACGCAGCUAGUGAGGUUCUAACCGAGGCGCGUCUAUUGCUGGUUGAAAACUAUUUCCAAACCCCCUCUUCGGCCUUGGCUUGUCCUUGCGCUGUCGAGAAUUUCUGGAAGGGCUCCCUUUGGGGUAAAGUC
rnacentral:snRNA from 1 species